UAAUACAUGCAAGUCGAACGCGUCUCCGUUAAUGAUUUUAGGUGCUUGCACUUGAAAGAUUUAACAUUGAGACGAGUGGCGAACUGGUGAGUAACACGUGGGUAACCUGCCCUUGAAGUAGGGGAUAACACUUGGAAACAGGUGCUAAUACCGUAUAACAACCAAAACCACCUGGUUUUGGUUUAAAAGACGGCUUCGGCUGUCACUUUAGGAUGGACCCGCGGCGUAUUAGCUUGUUGGUAAGGUAACGGCUUACCAAGGCGAUGAUACGUAGCCGACCUGAGAGGGUAAUCGGCCACAUUGGGACUGAGACACGGCCCAAACUCCUACGGGAGGCAGCAGUAGGGAAUCUUCCACAAUGGACGAAAGUCUGAUGGAGCAACGCCGCGUGAGUGAUGAAGGGUUUCGGCUCGUAAAACUCUGUUGUUGGAGAAGAACAGGUGUCAGAGUAACUGUUGACAUCUUGACGGUAUCCAACCAGAAAGCCACGGCUAACUACGUGCCAGCAGCCGCGGUAAUACGUAGGUGGCAAGCGUUGUCCGGAUUUAUUGGGCGUAAAGCGAGCGCAGGCGGUUUUUUAGGUCUGAUGUGAAAGCCUUCGGCUUAACCGGAGAAGUGCAUCGGAAACCGGGAGACUUGAGUGCAGAAGAGGACAGUGGAACUCCAUGUGUAGCGGUGAAAUGCGUAGAUAUAUGGAAGAACACCAGUGGCGAAGGCGGCUGUCUGGUCUGUAACUGACGCUGAGGCU
rnacentral:rRNA from 1 species